rnacentral:rRNA from 1 species
GGUUACGACCAUACCGCGUUGAAAGCACGCCAUCCCGUCCGAUCUGGCAAGUUAAGCAACGCUGGGCUUCCUUAGUACUUGGAACGGAGAUUCUAAAAUUCUCCCAAAAUGU